CAAUAGCGUAUAUUAAAGUUGUUGCGGUUAAAAAGCUCGUAGUUGGAUUUCUGCCGAGGACGACCGGUCCGCCCUCUGGGUGAGUAUCUGGCUUGGCCUGGGCAUCUUCUUGGAGAACGUAGCUGCACUUGACUGUGUGGUGCGGUAUCCAGGACUUUUACUUUGAGGAAAUUAGAGUGUUUCAAGCAGGCAUGCGCCUUGAAUACAUUAGCAUGGAAUAAUAAGAUAGGACCUUCGGUUCGUAUUUUGUUUGGUUUCGUUAGAGCUCGAGGUAAUGAUUAAUAGGGAUAGUUGGGGGCUAUUCGUUAUUUAACUGUCAGAGGUAGAAAUUCUUGGUAUUUGUUAAAGACGGAACUACUGCGAAAGCAUUU
rnacentral:rRNA from 1 species